ACGGGGACCCGCACAAGCGGUGGACGAUGUGGAUUAAUUCGAUGCAACGCGAAAAACCUUACCUACCCUUGACAUGUCCGGAAUCCCGAAGAGAUUUGGGAGUGCUCGCAAGAGAACCGGAACACAGGUGCUGCAUGGCUGUCGUCAGCUCGUGUCGUGAGAUGUUGGGUUAAGUCCCGCAACGAGCGCAACCCUUGUCAUUAGUUGCCAUCAUUUGGUUGGGCACUCUAAUGAGACUGCCGGUGACAAACCGGAGGAAGGUGGGGAUGACGUCAAGUCCUCAUGGCCCUUAUGGGUAGGGCUUCACACGUCAUACAAUGGUCGGUACAGAGGGUUGCCAAGCCGCGAGGCGGAGCCAAUCCCACAAAGCCGAUCGUAGUCCGGAUUGUUCUCUGCAACUCGAGAGCAUGAAGUCGGAAUCGCUAGUAAUCGCAGGUCAGCAUACUGCGGUGAAUACGUUCCCGGGUCUU
rnacentral:rRNA from 1 species